rnacentral:snRNA from 1 species
GUGCUUGUUUCAGCAGCAUGCAUACUAAAAUUUUGAAAACUACAGUGACUAGCAUGUGCAAGGAUGACAUGCAAAUUGGUGAAGUGUUCCAUAUUUUA